GAGAUUCUUCGGAGUCUUGAGAGCGGCGCAGGGGUGCGGAACACGUGUGCAACCUCCUUUAUCUGGGGGAUAGCCUUUCUAAAGGGAGAUUAAUACCCCAUAAUAUACUGAGUGGCAUCACUUAUUAUUGAAAACUCCGGUGGAUAGAGAUGGGCACGCGCAAAAUUAAAUAGUUGGUGAGGUAACGGCUCACCAAGUCAAUGAUCUUUAGGGGGCCUGAGAGGGUGAUCCCCCACACUGGUACUGAGACACGGACCAGACUCCUACGGGAGGCAGCAGUGAGGAAUAUUGGACAAUGGGUGAGAGCCUGAUCCAGCCAUCCCGCGUGAAGGACGACGGCCCUAUGGGUUGUAAACUUCUUUUGUACAGGGAUAAACCUUUCCACGUGUGGAAAGCUGAAGGUACUGUACGAAUAAGCACCGGCUAACUCCGUGCCAGCAGCCGCGGUAAUACGGAGGGUGCAAGCGUUAUCCGGAUUUAUUGGGUUUAAAGGGUCCGUAGGCGGAUCUGUAAGUCAGUGGUGAAAUCUCAUAGCUUAACUAUGAAACUGCCAUUGAUACUGCAGGUCUUGAGUAAGGUAAAAGUAGCUGGAAUAAGUAGUGUAGCGGUGAAAUGCAUAGAUGUUACUUAGAACACCAAUUGCGAAGGCAGGUUACUAUGUCUUAACUGACGCUCAUGGACGAAAGCGUGAGGAGCGAACAGGAUUAGAUACCCUGAUAGUCCACGCCGUAAACGAUGCUAACUCGUUUUUGGUUUUUCUGAAUCAUAGACUAAGCGAAAGUGAUAAGUUAGCCACCUGGGGAGUACGAACGCAAGUUUGAAACUCAGAGGAAUUGACGGGGGCCCGCACAAGCGGUGGAUUAUGUGGGUUUAAUUCUAUGAUACGCGAGGAACCUUACCAAGACUUAAAUGGG
rnacentral:rRNA from 1 species